ACAGUGACAGGGCAAGCAGAGCAGUGCUUUGGAACAGCUCAUUCGUCCCCUACUUGCUCAGAAAAUUCUCAAGAGUGCUCUGAAGGCGGAGUUUCUUUCUGCCUCCUUAACUGGAUCCAGGGAGUGGCCGUUGCCUUGGAGACCUGAGGGCAGAGCCCUGGCUUCUUGUGGAAAGUGGGGCUGUGGGGGAAGAGGGGUUCCUGGCUGCAGGAUGACCACCCUAGGAAAACAGCAAAGGCUGAAAACAGCAAGGCUGGGCUCUCUCUCAGUCCACCGCACCAGAAAAGAAUGUCAGUGUCCUCAAGGUGAGAGUGCUGUCUGCCUCCGAGUCUCCGGCUGGGGGUGACCAGGACACCUUUGUCUCUAAAACGAGGGUCCAAGGCCCAGAGAGAAGAGGAAAUGCCUUUUCCCCGCAGCCCAGGGCUCAGAGGCUUUCGUUUCCUGUGCUGGGAUCUGCCUUUCCUAGGACAUUCGCCACAGGGCUGUUCAUCCAGCCCCACCCGUCGGCCCUGCAGGAUGGGCUUGAGGAGCAGCCUCGAACCAGCAGCCACUGGAGGAUAUGGAAAUCCAGCCCCUCUGCCUCCCGUCAGCACCAGGUGACGCUCACCUCUGCACAGAGCAUCUGCACUCAGCUUCCUGGUGUGGACUUUUGCUGGACUCAAGGGGGUUUUCUCAGAAAAAGGCAAAUAUGCCUCGGGGCGGAUUUAGGUAUUAUUCCUCCUCAUGGACAGUAACCGCCUGGAGCCUUGGAGCAAGGCUUUCUUGGAGCUUAGACAAUCUCCAGGCGCGGAGGUCCCAGCUAGGGUACCACAGGGUUUCUGUGUCCCUCUGUCCCCAUCUCCACUCCCACUAUUUCAAAGCUCUCAGUUUCCCUCCAGCCUCCUACCCUGCCACCUGCCCCCAUUCUUGGCAGCUGCCCUAAUUUGGGGAGAAAACAGAACCAGCAGUCCCCAGCCCCCAGCUCCCAUCCACAUGCUGCAGGCAGGUAGGCUGGCUCUUGGCAUCUCCUCUUCUCCUGUCACCCUGGAGAAGGCGGGCUGCCCCACCCAAGCAGCUCACCCAAGUUCAGAUGGGUGGCUGUGGAAGGCAGCCUUUAAAAAGACUCUGGUCUUUUUUCUUUUCAGGGCCACAUCUGCAGCAUAUGGAGGUUCCCAGGCUAGGGGUCAAGUUGGAGCUACAGCUGCUGGCCUACACCACAGCCACAGCAACUCGGGAUCCAAGCUGCGUCUGUGACCCACCCACAGCUCAUGGCAACACUGGAUCCUUAACCCACUGAUCGAGGCCAGGGAUUGAACCCAUGUCCUCAUGGAUACUGGUUAGAUUCAUUACUGCUGAGCCACAAUGGGAACUCCACGGUUCUGUCCUGUUUGCCCUCUGGCUCCUUCACUUACUCACUCUUCUGGAAGCCGGCUGCCAUGUUGGGAGCUGCCCUGUGGAGAGGCCCAUGGGGCAAGGAGCUGAGGGGGACUUGGACCAACAGCCCACAAGGCACUGCCUUCCUCAGUCAAGCAGUCCAUGAGGAGCUGACUCCCAAAUCACUGAGUGAGCCUGGAAGUGAACCUGGCCUCAGUUGAGCCGUUGGCUGAGACCACAGUCCUGGCUGACACCUUGACUGCAGCCUCCGGAGAGACCCUGAGCCAGAGGACCCAGCUAGGCCCCACCAGAUCCCUGACUUGCAGGAACUGUGAGAUAAUAAAUGUUCAUUACUUUAAACUGCUAAAUUUUGGAAUAAUUUAUUACAUAAAUAAACUUGUAUUUGUUAUAGAUAACAAAUACAAUGGCUCUUAGACUUGUCACUUUCUUAGACCUGAAAAAUUUUUGAAAAAACUUGAGGGUCCGCAUAAGGUUGGCAUAUUUUUAUUUUAUUUUUGUCUUUUUAGGGCCAUACUCUUGGCACAUGGAGGUUUCCAGGCUAGGGGUCAAAUUGGAGCUGCAGCUGCCAGCCUACGCCACAGCCACAGCAAUGCCAGAUCCGAGCCGUGUCUGCAACCUUCACCACAGCUCACGACAAUGCUGGAUCCUUAACUCACUGAGCAAGGCCAGGGAUCAAACCUGCAUCCUCACCAGUACUAGUCAGAUUCAUUUCUACUGAGCCAGGAAGGGAACUCUCUUAAUUAAUUAAUUUAUUUUUUAGGUUGGCACCUUUUUAGUUUACAAAAUAGAUCUUGAAAAAUAACAACCAACUUUUUACUCUCAUUUUUAUGAGAAGUAUAGUUUUUUAAUUUUAUCACAGUGUUAUUUACAUACAAUACAAUUCAUCCAUUUGAAAUUUAAGGAAGUUUGGUAAUUCUAAACAAUUGUAAACUCGCUUCCAUAAUCCAGAUAUGGAAUGGCUUCCUCAUCCUAAAAAGUGUCCUUAUGCUCCUUUGCAGUCGAUGCCUUCCCAGCGUGGGCCUCACAUAACCUUCUCUGUUUAAGAGGAACUGUAUGUGAGGAGUUCCCAUUGUGGCUCAGUGGUAAUGAACCUGACUAAUAUCCAUGAGCACUUGGGUUCGAUCCCUGGCCUCUCUCAGUGGGUUAAGUAUCCGGUGUUGCCGUGAGCUAUGGGGUUGGUCGAAGACGCAGCUUGGAUCCUGAGUUGCUGUGGCUGUGGCAUAGGCCGGCAGCUGUAGUUCGAUCUGACCCCUACCCUGGGAAAUACCAUAUGCUGCAGACGCGGCCCUAAAAAGAAAAAAAAAAAAAAAAAAAAAAAAAAAAGGAAGAAUAUGUGAAUAUAAAAAAAUGUGGAAAAGAUGUAAUCUCAAAAUAAAAAGCCACCAUUAAACCGAGUGCAUUAAAAGUUGUGUGUGCCAGGAGUUCCCGUCGUGGCUCAGUGGUUAACAAUCCGAUUAGGAACCAUGAGGUUGCAGGUUUGAUUCCUGGCCUUGCUCAGUGGGUUGAGUGCCGGAGUCCAGCUCCAGCAGCCAGGGUAUUCCCUCUGGGGUUGGAGAGUGUCGGCAAAGCACACGGAGACAGCCUCUUUGUCCCUUCUUUCAGGGUGCUGGACUGCUCAAAUUUUAUUAGCAUAGGUAACAGUUUAUAUAGACAGCUUAAUUGUAACUUACAUCACAGUGCUUAAAUAAUAUUUUCAAAGGUUAAAUUUUAGACUACAUGGUACAGUAGACAUACAUUGUGCUCUAAGAAUUUUAAUUAAAACUAACGGAUACAAUGCAUCAUGUAAAAUUAUAAUGGAUACAAAACAUUAUGUGGAAAAAACAUUAUAUGAAAAUAAGGCA
rnacentral:lncRNA from 9 species